ensembl:snRNA U6 U6 spliceosomal RNA
GUGCUCAGUUCCACAGCACAUACACUAAAAUUGGAAUGAUAGAGAAGAUUCGCAUGGCCCUCUGUAAGAAUAAGACUCAAAUUUGUGAUGUGUACCAUACUUUU